AUACGGAGGGUGCAAGCGUUACUCGGAAUCACUGGGCGUAAAGCGCGCGCAGGCGGGCUGAUAAGUUGGAUGUGAAAGCCUACGGCUCAACCGUAGAACUGCAUCCAAAACUGUCAGUCUAGAGUGUGGGAGAGGAAGAUGGAAUUAGUUGUGUAGGGGUAAAAUCCGUAGAGAUACCUAGGAAUACCAAAAGCGAAGGCAAUCUUCUGGAACACUACUGACGCUGAGGCGCGAAGGCGUGGGGAGCAAACAGGAUUAGAAACCCUAGUAGUCC
rnacentral:rRNA from 1 species